rnacentral:rRNA from 1 species
AGUAAGACGUGGAGAACCUGCCGUAUACUGGGGGAUAACACUUAGAAAUAGGUGCUAAUACCGCAUAAGCGCACAGCUUCGCAUGAAGCGGUGUGAAAAACUCUGGUGGUAUACGAUGGUUCCGCGUCUGAUUAGCUAGUUGGUGGGGUAAUGGCCUACCAAGGCAACGAUCAGUAGCCGGCCUGAGAGGGUGAACGGCCACAUUGGGACUGAGACACGGCCCAAACUCCUACGGGAGGCAGCAG